rnacentral:misc_RNA from 1 species
GAUGAAGAACGUAGCGAAAUGCGAUAAGUAAUGUGAAUUGCAGAAUUCAGUGAAUCAUCGAAUCUUUGAACGCAUCUUGCGCUCCUUGGUAUUCCUUGGAGCAUGCCUGUUUGAGUAUCAUGAGCAAAUCUCAAAGUCAAUUCCUUUUGUUGCUUCAAUUGGUUUUGCUUUGGACUUGGAGGCCUUGCAGAUUUCACAGUCUGCUCCUCUUAAAUGCAUUAGCUGGAUCUCAGUAAUUAUGCUUGGUUACACUCGGCGUGAUAAGUAUCACUCGCUGAGGACACUGUUAAAAAGGUGGCCAGGAAAAUACUGAUUGAACCGCUUCUAACGGUCUAUUAAGUUAGACAAUUACCCUUAAGUUUGAUCUCAAAUCAGGUAGGACUACCCGCUGAACUUAAGCAUAUCAAUAAGCGGAGGA